GUUGUGGGGUUAAGCGACUAAGCGUACACGGUGGAUGCCCUGGCAGUCAGAGGCGAUGAAGGACGUGCUAAUCUGCGAUAAGCGUCGGUAAGGUGAUAUGAACCGUUAUAACCGGCGAUUUCCGAAUGGGGAAACCCAGUGUGUUUCGACACACUAUCAUUAACUGAAUCCAUAGGUUAAUGA
rnacentral:rRNA from 1 species